GAUCAUGGCUCAGGACGAACGCUGGCGGCGUGUCUAACACAUGCAAGUCGAGCGGGAAGCUCGACACGGAGGCUUCGGCCGAAGUGUCGAGUGGAGAGCGGCGGACGGGUGAGUAACGCGUGAGUAACCUGCCUACCAGAGGGGGAUAACACAUAGAAAUGUGUGCUAAUACCGCAUGAAACCAUAGUAUCGCAUGGUAUAAUGGUCAAAGAUUUAUCGCUGGUAGAUGU
rnacentral:rRNA from 1 species